rnacentral:rRNA from 1 species
CGCCUCCCAAAAGGUAACGGAGGCGCUCAAAGGUUCUCUCAGUACGGUCGGAAAUCGUACGUAGAGUGUAAAGGCAAAAGAGAGCUUGAUUGCAAGACAUACAGGUCGAGCAAGGAUGAAAAUCGGACUUAGUGAUCCGGUGGUUCUGCGUGGAAGGGCCAUCGCUCAACGGAUAAAAGCUUCCCUGGGGAUAACAGGCUUAUCUCCCCCAAGAGUCCACAUCGACGGGGAGGUUUGGCACCUCGAUGUCGGCUCAUCACAUCCUGGGGC